rnacentral:rRNA from 1 species
ACGAUAUGCUUUGGGGAGCUGUAAGUAAGCUUUGAUCCAGAGAUUUCCGAAUGGGGAAACCCAGCAUGAGUUAUGUCAUGUUAUCGAUAUGUGAAUACAUAGCAUAUCAGAAGGCACACCCGGAGAACUGAAACAUCUUAGUACCCGGAGGAAGAGAAAGAAAAUUCGAUUCCCUUAGUAGCGGCGAGCGAAACGGGAAGAGCCCAAACCAACAAGCUUGCUUGUUGGGGUUGUAGGACACUCUAUACGGAGUUACAAAGGACGACAUUAGACGAAUCAUCUGGAAAGAUGAAUCAAAGAAGGUAAUAAUCCUGUAGUCGAAAAUGUUGUCUCUCUUGAGUGRAUCCUGAGUACGACGGAGCACGUGAAAUUCCGUCGGAAUCUGGGAGGACCAUCUCCUAAGGCUAAAUACUCUCUAGUGACCGAUAGUGAACCAGUACCGUGAGGGAAAGGUGAAAAGCACCCCGGAAGGGGAGUGAAAUAGAACCUGAAACCGUGUGCUUACAAGUAGUCAGAGCCCGUUAAUGGGUGAUGGCGUGCCUUUUGUAGAAUGAACCGGCGAGUUACGAUUUGAUGCAAGGUUAAGCAGUAAAUGUGGAGCCGUAGCGAAAGCGAGUCUGAAUAGGGCGUUUAGUAUUUGGUCGUAGACCCGAAACCAGGUGAUCUACCCUUGGUCAGGUUGAAGUUCAGGUAACACUGAAUGGAGGACCGAACCGACUUACGUUGAAAAGUGAGCGGAUGAACUGAGGGUAGCGGAGAAAUUCCAAUCGAACCUGGAGAUAGCUGGUUCUCUCCGAAAUAGCUUUAGGGCUAGCCUCAAGUGAUGAUUAUUGGAGGUAGAGCACUGUUUGGACGAGGGGCCCCUCUCGGGUUACCGAAUUCAGACAAACUCCGAAUGCCAAUUAAUUUAACUUGGGAGUCAGAACAUGGGUGAUAAGGUCCRUGUUCGAAAGGGAAACAGCCCAGACCACCAGCUAAGGUCCCAAAAUAUAUGUUAAGUGGAAAAGGAUGUGGCGUUGCCCAGACAACUAGGAUGUUGGCUUAGAAGCAGCCAUCAUUUAAAGAGUGCGUAAUAGCUCACUAGUCGAGUGACACUGCGCCGAAAAUGUACCGGGGCUAAACAUAUUACCGAAGCUGUGGAUUGUCCUUUGGACAAUGGUAGGAGAGCGUUCUAAGGGCGUUGAAGCAUGAUCGUAAGGACAUGUGGAGCGCUUAGAAGUGAGACGUCCGCUCUGGGUUAGUCGGGUCCUAAGCUGAGGCCGACAGGCGUAGGCGAUGGAUAACAGGUUGAUAUUCCUGUACCACCUAUAAUCGUUUUAAUCGAUGGGGGGACGCAGUAGGAUAGGCGAAGCGUGCGAUUGGAUUGCACGUCUAAGCAGUAAGGCUGAGUAUUAGGCAAAUCCGGUACUCGUUAAGGCUGAGCUGUGAUGGGGAGAAGACAUUGUGUCUUCGAGUCGUUGAUUUCACACUGCCGAGAAAAGCCUCUAGAUAGAAAAUAGGUGCCCGUACCGCAAACCGACACAGGUAGUCAAGAUGAGAAUUCUAAGGUGAGCGAGCGAACUCUCGUUAAGGAACUCGGCAAAAUGACCCCGUAACUUCGGGAGAAGGGGUGCUCUUUAGGGUUAACGCCCAGAAGAGCCGCAGUGAAUAGGCCCAAGCGACUGUUUAUCAAAAACACAGGUCUCUGCUAAACCGUAAGGUGAUGUAUAGGGGCUGACGCCUGCCCGGUGCUGGAAGGUUAAGAGGAGUGGUUAGCUUCUGCGAAGCUACGAAUCGAAGCCCCAGUAAACGGCGGCCGUAACUAUAACGGUCCUAAGGUAGCGAAAUUCCUUGUCGGGUAAGUUCCGACCCGCACGAAAGGCGUAACGAUUUGGGCACUGUCUCAACGAGAGACUCGGUGAAAUCAUAGUACCUGUGAAGAUGCAGGUUACCCGCGACAGGACGGAAAGACCCCGUGGAGCUUUACUGUAGCCUGAUAUUGAAAUUCGGCACAGCUUGUACAGGAUAGGUAGGAGCCUUUGAAACGUGAGCGCUAGCUUACGUGGAGGCGCUGGUGGGAUACUACCCUAGCUGUGUUGGCUUUCUAACCCGCACCACUUAUCGUGGUGGGAGACAGUGUCAGGCGGGCAGUUUGACUGGGGCGGUCGCCUCCUAAAAGGUAACGGAGGCGCUCAAAGGUUYCCUCAGAAUGGUUGGAAAUCAUUCAUAGAGUGUAAAGGCAUAAGGGAGCUUGACUGCGAGACCUACAAGUCGAGCAGGGUCGAAAGACGGACUUAGUGAUCCGGUGGUUCCGCAUGGAAGGGCCAUCGCUCAACGGAUAAAAGCUACCCCGGGGAUAACAGGCUUAUCUCCCCCAAGAGUUCACAUCGACGGGGAGGUUUGGCACCUCGAUGUCGGCUCAUCGCAUCCUGGGGCUGUAGUCGGUCCCAAGGGUUGGGCUGUUCGCCCAUUAAAGCGGUACGCGAGCUGGGUUCAGAACGUCGUGAGACAGUUCGGUCCCUAUCCGUCGUGGGCGUAGGAAAUUUGAGAGGAGCUGUCCUUAGUACGAGAGGACCGGGAUGGACAUACCUCUGGUGUACCAGUUGUCGUGCCAACGGCAUAGCUGGGUAGCUAUGUGUGGACGGGAUAAGUGCUGAAAGCAUCUAAGCAUGAAGCCCCCCUCAAGAUGAGAUUUCCCAACUUCGGUUAU